UACGUAGGGGGCAAGCGUUGUCCGGAUUUAUUGGGCGUAAAGAGCGUGUAGGCGGCUUUACAGGUCCGUUGUGAAAACUCGAGGCUCAACCUCGAGACGUCGGCGGAAACCAUCUGGCUAGAGUCCGGAAGAGGAGAGUGGAAUUCCUGGUGUAGCGGUGAAAUGCGCAGAUAUCAGGAAGAACACCCGUGGCUAAGGCGGCUCUCUAGUACGGUACUGACGCUGAGACGCGAAAGCGUGGGGAGCGAACAGG
rnacentral:rRNA from 1 species